GGCCACAUCGUAGAGCUCUGUGGUCCUCAGUGGCUGCAGUUUUUAGUCCCCUCAUUUCAAAACUAGAAUUAAAUUUCCUCCUCAUCCCCCAAGUCCAUUGUCCCCUCAUCCCAUUUCUGCCCAUAGGAAAAGAUCAGAGGUGCUUAUGAGUGGAAGAAGUGUGAGCAAGUGAGCGUGGCCUGGGCCUGCUGCUGUCACCUGUGCAGUUAUGAAUUUUUAUUUAUUAUCCAUGUGUGCUGUAUUUUAAUCAGAUGCCGUCUCCGCUUCCAGCUCAAGCCUCUGUGUGUGUGUGUGUGUGUGUGUGAGAGAGAGAGAGAGAGAGAGAGAGAAUCCAGCCCAGGUAUAUUAUUUAUUUACUUUUGUCUGAGGAUGGCUGUAUGUCUGUGUGUCACAUGGUCACCUGCCCCAGACAUCGGUGGAAGGAUAGCAUCCUGUGUACAAGAAAUUGUCACAUGAACAACUCCCCCACCCUCAGCAAAAGAUGUGUCCUUGAAUGGAGGCGGGUCACCUUAUGCCCACCAAGGAUGCUUUGAGAAGGUCCCCAAGCAGCCAGCGUCAGUCCCACGAUUUCAAACUAUUUAUUCUCCAAACAGAGUGCUGGUUCAUCACGUUCUCUGCUCUCCUGGCUGCUGCAAAUACGUGCAGUCACUUACACUUUAUUUGAAUGUAUUUUAAAGCGGUAGGUAGAAGAGGAAAGGAGGGUGACAACUUUGGCUUGGAUGGACCACGUCACGUGUUCAGAGGGGCCUCCCUCCCGUCCACACUGGAAGCGCCAGUGUUAAGAACCGGCACUUUAGAGGUGGUGAUAGGAUUGUUAGCAAACCGGUGAUCAACAUUAAGCAACACUACCAAAAAAAUCGUGUUGUGAUGCGUCAGGAUCAGCCACAAGAUUUCAUUCACUAACGAAUAUCAAUAAAACAAGCUCAAAGAUG
rnacentral:lncRNA from 1 species